CAGAUUCUCUAACAGAAUUGCUUGAUACAUGGAAAUUCAUGGAGUCCUGUUUCCUUUUAGACCUCCAGCUUUGCGGGGGGCAGGGGGCAGAGGGGACUUCAAAAUAUCAUAAAGGCAAUGCACUUAAAUGCUUAUAAUUACUUCUGCUUGCAGGACACUCUCAUUGGCCUUAAUUCAGAGCCUAGUUGUUCUUACUUUAAACACAAUUAACCAAUUUGGCUUCCAGGCCUCCUAGCCUGCGGUUGAUUAGGAGCCGCCAAUUAAAGUGAGAUUUCACCACAGUUUGGUUUAUCCAUGAGUAGUAAAAUAAUGUCAGAACCAUAUUACACAUUUCCAUCGAGGACUCGAAAUGUCUGGGCUAGCAAAGACCACAUUCCUGAGUGAUUUGCUCAAGGUUUCAUUUGGAUGGUUUGGUGUUGUGUACACACAGCCUCAUUUGAGAUUGUGUAAUUUCCCCUGAAACCUUAGAAUUUCAUCUAGCCAUGAUAUUGUAUAUAUGAGAGAGUCUCUAUUUAUAAACCAUCGUUCUUUGAAGAACCUGCUCGGAUUCGUGCUGAUGGAAUUCCACAGAGACUCCCCUACAGCUCAUUCAUUCACUCACCUUCCCUUUUUGAAGCCCGUGUUUUUCUCUAGCAGGAACUACUCUGAGCACUCAGGUAGGAAUGGGAAGAGAAUAUUCUCCUUUGUGUGUAUUCUCAGAAGUGCCAGCUAUUACUUUAUUGUUAUUAUUCAAUAAUAUGAAUGAGGAGGAUCCCACACUGGCAUUUAAGCACCAUUUCCAACACACAUGUCCUCGCCAAGGAUGUGAGCACAUGUAAAAAUGGAUGUACAGACACUGCCUGCAUUAUGUAUUAGCCAGUUUUACCAACUAUUAGCAAGUAAUGCUUUCCCCUGCACUGUCUAUUCAAUAGAGAGAGAAAAGAACAUGCAUAUCACAGACUCUAACCUUGAGAAGCUAUAUGUACAUAAUCCUAUCACAUAGUAGGUGUCCAAUAAAUAUUUGUUAAAUGAGUGAAUAAUGCAUUGUAAAAUAGGGAAGUCCUUGAGGGACAGGUAAAGUGUUAUGUUAGAAAUUGAAAGUACUUGGACUUAACCAUGGUUAAACACAUAGUCUCAAGUUUUUCCACUUUACCAUAAACCCGGUUCUCUUUCAUCUCUCUCAAAGCAUUUCACUUUAACACCUACAUGUAGGGGAGGAUAUGCUAAGAAAAGGGAG
rnacentral:lncRNA from 1 species